GCGUGAGUGAUGAAGGCCCUAGGGUUGUAAAGCUCUUUUACCCGGGAUGAUAAUGACAGUACCGGGAGAAUAAGCUCCGGCUAACUCCGUGCCAGCAGCCGCGGUAAUACGGAGGGAGCUAGCGUUGUUCGGAUAUACUGGGCGUAAAGCGCACGUAGGCGGCGCCGUAAGUCAGGGGUGAAAUCCCGGAGCUCAACUCCGGAACUGCCCUUGAAACUGCAGUGCUAGAAUCCUGGAGAGGCGAGUGGAAUUCCGAGUGUAGAGGUGAAAUUCGU
rnacentral:rRNA from 1 species